AAUACUUUGGUGGCGACCGGCGCACGGGUGAGUAACGCGUAUGCAACCUACCUAUCAGAGGGGAAUAACCCGGCGAAAGUCGGACUAAUACCGCAUAAAACAGGGGCACCGCAUGGUGAUAUUUGUUAAAGAAAUUCGCUGAUAGAUGGGCAUGCGUUCCAUUAGGUAGUUGGUGAGGUAACGGCUCACCAAGCCGACGAUGGAUAGGGGAACUGAGAGGUUGGUCCCCCACACUGGUACUGAGACACGGACCAGACUCCUACGGGAGGCAGCAGUGAGGAAUAUUGGUCAAUGGGCGGGAGCCUGAACCAGCCAAGUCGCGUGAAGGAAGAAGGAUCUAUGGUUCGUAAACUUCUUUUGCAGGGGAAUAAAGUGCAGGACGUGUCCUGUUUUGUAUGUACCCUGAGAAUAAGGAUCGGCUAACUCCGUGCCAGCAGCCGCGGUAAUACGGAGGAUCCGAGCGUUAUCCGGAUUUAUUGGGUUUAAAGGGUGCGUAGGUGGUUUGAUAAGUCAGCGGUGAAAGUUUGCAGCUUAACUGUAAAAAUGCCGUUGAAACUGUCGGACUUGAGUGUAAAUGAGGUAGGCGGAAUGCGUGGUGUAGCGGUGAAAUGCAUAGAUAUCACGCAGAACUCCGAUUGCGAAGGCAGCUUACUAAGCUACAACUGACACUGAAGCACGAAAGCGUGGGGAUCAAACAGGAUUAGAUACCCUGGUAGUCCACGCAGUAAACGAUGAUUACUAGCUGUUUGCGAUACACAGUAAGCGGCACAGCGAAAGCGUUAAGUAAUCCACCUGGGGAGUACGCCGGCAACGGUGAAACUCAAAGGAAUUGACGGGGGCCCGCACAAGCGGAGGAACAUGUGGUUUAAUUCGAUGAUACGCGAGGAACCUUACCCGGGUUUGAACGUAGGGAGACAGGGGUGGAAACAUCCUUUUUCAGCAAUGACUGCCUACGAAGGUGCUGCAUGGUUGUCGUCAGCUCGUGCCGUGAGGUGUCGGC
rnacentral:rRNA from 1 species